rnacentral:tRNA from 1 species
GGGAAUGUGGCUUAGUGGUAAAGUGCUUGCUUCACAUGCAUAAAGCCCUGGGUUCAAUUCCUCAGUAUCA